CAAACAGAUCUCGUGAUUUAACACUGCCCACCGAUUACUAAAUAAGGGGAGGCUUGGAGAUCCGACAAUUGAGAUCGCGCCAUCGAUGAAACUGUGAGCGGUUAGAUCUGGAUCUCACUUGGAAAUCCUGCAUCCAACCCAAGGGCUAAGGCCCUCUCCUACCCCUCCUCUCCAACCAUCUUCCUCUUCCAACUUGCUGCCCACCUUUGAAUAUCUUUCUUCCCCACCUCUUUCUCCAUCUGUCCUAGCUUUUGCUCUCCCCUCCCUUUUUGGUGCUGCCAUUGUCUCUUCCAAAACCACCUCCAUUAUUGAGCUGCCUUUUCCCCGCAGAACUCGUCGCUCAUCCACAGCCCUAGCUGAGAUAAUCUCUUCUUCUUCUUCCCAAGAGUGAACUUUUCCCUCUCCCCUGUGAUCUUUGGAGCUUUGUUGGCUGUUGGAAAGUAGAAGGAAAAUCAGAGAACAGAUAUCAGAAUUGUGGCAGGUGGGCCAUAUCAUCCUGGUAAAAAUACAACUCGAAGAAUCUGAAUAUAACUUAGCAAAAAAAAGAAUCUGAAUAUAAAAUGUCCCGAAGCUGAUCUGGGGCUGAAGCCAAAUUCUCCCAGAUGGUGUCCACUAUUGUGUGAUUCUUUCACUGUUCAAUCAAAUGAAAUAACAUUUGAUUCAAACAUCCACACCAGCUAAAAAGUUUUGUUUUUUUAUUUGAUUAAUGACAAACAGUUAUUUUUCAUUAUUUUAUAUCAUAAAAGCAUAUAAAAGAAAUUGUAACAGCUAUUAUCUUACUCCAAAGAAUCCUGGGAAAGGGCUCAAAUUGGCAAACAAAUGACAUUGUUUUUGUCAUAAUGGUAAGUAAAACCCAACACACUCACACUCCUGCUUGACGUUCCAAUUUGUUUCUUUUUUGAAUAUUGACUGAAAUCUUUCUGGUCAGGCUAUCGGCAAGCCCUCCCAUCUCCUUCCUUUUGAACUGCACAUUUGAAGUGCACAUCAGCUGGCUCUGACCGAUUCAAGGAAAAGCAGAAGCCAAAAAACAGAUAUUCCCCUCAUGGAUUACCUUGCAACUUGCUCAGAUGUCACGAAUAUUCCAUUAACUAUUGCUUAACUCUAAGAUUUGUAGGAACCAGGCAUCAUUAAUAACUAAUAAACAUUUUUCCAGGAAGCAUGAUGUCAUACGGAACUCCACUGGCGGAUCAAACUUUCAUAGACU